rnacentral:tRNA from 1 species
GCCCGCGUUGUCUAAUGGUUAUGACGUCAGACUUCUAUGAUCUCUGUCAUAAAUCUGGAGGUUGCGGGUUCGAGUCCCGCCGUGGGUU